UGAAGGUGAUUCCCAGUCAAAUGUUCUUUUGGGGAGUGGAACAAAAUGAGUGAAAAAUAAGUACCACCACUCUCAUUGGUACUAAGUUCU